rnacentral:rRNA from 1 species
GCGGNUGNGACCCUGCGGCGUGCCUAAUAACAUGCAAGUCGAGCGAACAGACGAGGAGCUUGCUCCUCUGACGUUAGCGGCGGACGGGUGAGUAACACGUGGAUAACCUACCUAUAAGACUGGGAUAACCUUCGGGAAACCGGAGCUAAUACCGGAUAAUAUAUUGAACCGCAUGGUUCAAUAGUGAAAGACGGUUUUGCUGUCACUUAUAGAUGGAUCCGCGCCGCAUUAGCUAGUUGGUAAGGUAACGGCUUACCAAGGCAACGAUGCGUAGCCGACCUGAGAGGGUGAUCGGCCACACUGGAACUGAGACACGGUCCAGACUCCUACGGGAGGCAGCAGUAGGGAAUCUUCCGCAAUGGGCGAAAGCCUGACGGAGCAACGCCGCGUGAGUGAUGAAGGUCUUCGGAUCGUAAAACUCUGUUAUUAGGGAAGAACAAAUGUGUAAGUAACUAUGCACGUCUUGACGGUACCUAAUCAGAAAGCCACGGCUAACUACGUGCCAGCAGCCGCGGUAAUACGUAGGUGGCAAGCGUUAUCCGGAAUUAUUGGGCGUAAAGCGCGCGUAGGCGGUUUUUUAAGUCUGAUGUGAAAGCCCACGGCUCAACCGUGGAGGGUCAUUGGAAACUGGAAAACUUGAGUGCAGAAGAGGAAAGUGGAAUUCCAUGUGUAGCGGUGAAAUGCGCAGAGAUAUGGAGGAACACCAGUGGCGAAGGCGACUUUCUGGUCUGUAACUGACGCUGAUGUGCGAAAGCGUUGGGGAUCAAACAGGAUUAGAUCCCUG